CAGUGGUAGGCUUCGGCCUCAUUCACACCCCCUGUGUUCCCUCUGGUUUCUUUGGCGAGGUCUCUCGUCAAACUUUUAACGCUGAGAAUGUGGUACUGUCCGAGUGCGAUUGAAUUAUCAAA
rnacentral:misc_RNA from 1 species